CAGGGCGGCCCGGCUGUGUCCCUGCGUCCCAGGGGCUGGGCGCGCCCGGCCUGCCCAGCGGGGGAUGCGGGGCGCUGUCACUUCCUCCCAGCAGCCGGGCAGGGGCGGGGGGCUGGCCGCGCGUCGCAUGGUAUGUGGAGUUCGGGGGACGGCACGGGGAGGACGGGGUUGUGGGGCGCGGAGCCAUUGUCCGACGACGGCUCCUGAUAGGCCGCCUGGAUGGGGCGCGCUUGGCCGCGUUCCCGCGUCACAGACCGGCUCCAGCUGCGGGAGAGCCCGUCCUACCCCAACUCCCCAGCCGCCCGUCUGAAGUGUUCCGGUAUCACCGUGGCCACAAGGAGGCAGGGGACGGGGGCUUCCUGAAGGAGGCCCCCUAAGGGGAAGGGGGCUACAAGGCUGGCCAGAGUGCUGGCCGCGCGGCUGUGCACAGGGCCUUGAGCCCCUCCGGUCAUCAAGCCUUGCUUGAAAUGCGUAAAUGCGGAAAGGUGAAGUGGCUGACCCGGGUCACACCACUUUAAGUAGCGGAGUGGGGUUCCUAGCCAGGCCUAUGGGACUCCCACUGGAGCCUUUCCCCCUCUGGGGCUAGGGCUGGACCCACAGGCUGCUGGAGCAGGCAGAAGGGGAGGGGCCCAAGGCCCAGACUCCAGGGCCUCGUCUGGAUCAUCAACCCGGCUUUGCCCAUUCAGCGCAGGCCUCCGUUUCCAGGCCUGUUUCCCCAUCCACACUGUCUCUCAGGAUGAGGAAACUGAGGCACAGAGCGGUCCAGUCAUGUGCCAGCUAGUGGUGAAGCUAGGAUCCCCUUCACUAAGCACAGUGUUAUCUUGCUUCUCCUCCAACGUUGCUCAGCGUCUGAAAUUCAGCUUGAUGUAUUUAAGUCAGACACAAGAAAGGACUUCCAGACCAAGGAGUUUCGAUGCAGAAAUGGGAGGUACUAUCCUUCACUCCUUUUUCACCUUGAAAAAAAUUUUUCCCAAUCUUUUUAUUA